UACGAAGGGGGGCUAGCGUUGUUCGGAAUCACUGGGCGUAAAGCGCACGUAGGCGGAUUGUUAAGUCGGGGGGUGAAAUCCUGAGGCUCAACCUCAGAACUGCCUCCGAUACUGGCAAUCUCGAGUUCGGAAGAGGUUGGUGGAACAGCUAGUGUAGAGGUGAAAUUCGUAGAUAUUAGCUAGAACACCAGUGGCGAAGGCGGCCAACUGGUCCGAUACUGACGCUGAGGUGCGAAAGCGUGGGGAGCAAACAGG
rnacentral:rRNA from 1 species